AAAGAAUGCCAGGAGCCACCAGAAUAUGCAAGAAGCAAGAAAGGAUUCUCUUCUAGAUCCUCGGAGGGAGCAUGGCCUUCAGACACCUGGACUUCAGAUUUUGGACUUCUGGCCUCCAGAACUGUAAGAUAAUAGAUUUAUGCCACCAAAUUUGUGCUAAUUGGUUACAGCAGCCAAUGAAUUUGCUCUUUGCUUCUGCAAUCAGUGAAAAUUUAACAUGCCUUCAAGUUCACCUUUGGAAUAUCUAUAAAUAAAAGCUUUGCUUCUCAGCCUAGUAUUUGUAGGUGCUGGGUUCUAGCUCGCUGAGUGUAGAUGGGUUGACAGAACUAGCAGAUAAAAUUACAGGCUGUUCAGUUAAAUUUGAAUUUUGAAUUAGCAAUGGAUAACAUUUUACUUAAAAUUUAAACUUAACUGGACAUUCUGUGUUUUUCUGGCAUGUGAAUGUAAGUUGGAAAAGAAGCAAGUGUUUUUGUAAAUCAAAACUGGUAUCAGGGCUCAGACCCAUGCUACUGAUUUCAUAGCCCAGUAAAAAUCUAACUCACUUUAUAUUUUAGAAAGAUGGAACAAACAAGCUCUGAUGAAAUAAAACUGACUGUAUUUCCUGGCUCUCAUGCAAAAAAAAAAUAGUAAAAACUACAUAAGUAAAAGAGAGAGUAAGUGAAUGGAAGAAAUGCAGGAGGUGCCCUGUACCCUGUUAGACUGAAGCUGUGGC
rnacentral:lncRNA from 1 species